rnacentral:rRNA from 1 species
GACGAACGCUGGCGGCGUGCCUAAUACAUGCAAGUCGGGCGCAGUUGCGAACGGGUGAGUAACGCGUGGGUAACUGCCUAUUAGAGGGGGAUAAAUAUUGGACACGAUAGCUAAUACCGCAUACUAGGAAAUGGACCUGCGUUGUAUUAGCUAGGAGGUAGGGUAAUGGGCUACCUAGGCGACGAUACAUAGCCGACCUGAGAGGGUGAUCGGCCAACCUGGGAAUGAGACACGGCCCAGAAUCCUACGGGAGGCAGCAGUAGGGAAUCUUCGGAAAUGGGGUGAACCCUGACCGAGCCACGCCGCGGGAGUGAAGAAGGUUUUCGGAUCGGAAAGCUCUGUUGUUAAGGAAGCGGUACUUAACCAGAAAGGGACGGCUAACUGCGUGCCAGCAGCCGCGGUAAUUC